AUGCCUGCUUUCUUGCUCUGUGUUUGUUUGCCUAAAAAGGCCACUCAUGUGACUAACCCAGGGCAAAAGAAGGCUCACCUCUCCUGGACAAAUUAUUUGAAAACUAUUCAUCCAUGCACACCCAUUUUUAAAAUCCUGGACAAAACUUUUUUGGCCAGCUUCUGUUUUAAGGAGAAGGGAGCUGGUGCCAGAAAGAAGUUGAAAAUGUCACUCUCUCUGCCUUGUGGAAUUGGGACAAGUAUUGUUCUGGGAAGAAGUGAGAAAAAGCAUUGUACUGAGUUCUACUGCUCAGCUUCCUGAGGUUUUCAUCUGAGACGGCAAGAGGUAUAUGAAAGCAUAUUCCACUCAUGCCGGCCCACAAGUCGGACUCCAGAGGACUGGACAAUCCAGAGAAAGUUCUCCAUCCUUUGCUCACUGCCUUGUAAACUUGCCUUUCGACUCCAUACACUUACUAACUCUAAGGAGGCGAAUACCUUAUUAUCUCAGGAGGGAAGGCCAGGAUCCCCGCAGGAAAUUGUGGAGUCUUCUGUGUGCCUGCCUUCAGCCUGGAGCUUUGUAUUUGCUAUCUCAUUCCAUCCUGUCAGCAACACUAGGAGGGUAAGAAAUUCUCCAUUUUUAAAAAUGUUAACUUCCAGUAUCGUUAACAUAUGGUAUUAUAUUAGUUGCAGGUGUACAGCUUAAUAAUUCAAGAAUUCCGUAUAUCAGCCGGUGCUCGUCAUGACAGGUACACUCUUUAAUCCCAAUCACCUAUUUCACUCCCCCCCCCCCCCCGCCCCUCUCUGGUAACCAUCAGUUUGUCUUCUGAGUUAAGAGUCUGUUUUUUGGUUUGCAUCUCUCUUUUUUCCUUUGCUCAUAUUUUUUGUUUGUUUCUUAAAUUCCACACGAGUGAAAUCAUAUGGUAUUCGUCUUUCUCUGACCGAUUUCACUCAGCAUGAUACUCUCUAGCUCCAUCCACAUCAUUGCCAGUGGCAAGAUUUCAUUCUUUUUUAUGGCUGAAUAACAUUCCAUUGACUGUAUAAACCACAUCUUUAUCCAUUGAUCUAUCCGUGGACACUUGGGCUGCUUCCAUAAUUUGGCUAUUGUACAUAAUGUCACUAUAAACAUAGAGGUACAUGUGUCUCUUAGAAUAUCUUUGUGUUUUGUGGGCAAAUAACCAGUGGUGCGAUUACUGAAUCAUAGGACAGUUCUAUUUUUAACUUCUUGAGGCACCUCCAUACUGUUUUCCGCAGUGGCUGCACCAGCUUGCUUUCCCAUCAACAGUGCACGAGGGUUCCUUUUGCUUCACAUCCUUGCCAACAUUUACUGUCAAAGAAAUCUCCAUCUCAUACACUAGGAAAUUGAGCCCAAAGAAGGCAUGGGCUACUUAGUUGUGUCUGUCAGCCUGUGUAAUCCAAAGCCUUGUCUACACUACUACUUCCUGUGUGAACUAGUACUACCUACUGUCACCUGGCAGAAAGCAGAGCCUUGAGGAAGGGACCGCUGACUGAGAUGUGUUGACCAGGCCAUGAGCAUGAGGGAAAUAAGGCAGUUGUGGGUACUUGUGGGGGGGGGGGGGGGCGGUGGAAGUCAGGAAGUUACAAUUACGUGGGAGGCAGGGCACUGCAAGAAUCUGGGGAAAUAAAAAUUUUUUCAAACUUCACAUUUCUCCCUUAAGGCCAGACCAAGUUGGAGCUUGUUUUAUAGCAGAAAUGAGGCAGCCAGACUGGUGUGUAGGGCAAAAUAUUUUUGCUGAAAAGCCCAGUAAGUAUCAUUCUCAUGAAACAGUCUUUUCUAAAUCUAGGGCCUUCUCUCUUAGGUGCUCUGUAGAAUGGAGUGUGCAUGUUUGUGUGGGAAUAUAUUAGCCACAGGUCUCCAUCUUUUACUUUUCCUCUCCAUACUGUUUAGUGUCUUUUUUCCUCUUGGUCUAUCCAAAGAUACUGGUCAAGGGAGCCAAGUAAAGUGCUCCCUUUUAUCCAGAGUUAAAAGCUCAUAUAUGGAUAGAUGGCUGUGUUAGGUAGGAGAGCACAGGAUCUGGUUAUAGCAAAACUGGGCAGCACAUCAGUAGCUCCAGAUGCUGAGGCAACCUCUCUGCCCCCCUUCCACUCCCCACAAGGCACUGCAUGGGCUGCCAAGAGUUUUUACUGGUCUCCACAGAUCCUUUUCUACCUGCCAGACUCAGCAUGAUCUAGGCAAGGAUCAUUUGUUUCUAAGGAUUGAAAGUAACUGAAUGUAGCUCAAGUAAAGAAAGGUUCACCAGAAGGAUCUGAGGUUAUGCCCUGGAGUUCAUUUGUAGGAAGUGUGUCUGGACCUCCUGGGAACUCUUUUCUGUCUUGCACUGUCUCCCUGGUUGAGGUUCCAACUGCUCCUGCUAUUUCCUAGGACUGUGUAGCAAGGCCCACCUUGUGACAUGACUACAAGGCUGUAACAGCUACAUAACUGCUCAAUUUUAUUUUAAAAAGUUGUGUUCCUCUUACCCAACGUGUUGCAAGUUGUUACAAGGG
rnacentral:lncRNA from 1 species